AACAACUUGAUAUUACAACUGUUUUAUGCACAAUACGUAGACCCGUUGGAAAUGUCGUUGCUUAGAGCCGCGUGCGGAUUACACAAUUGGCCUAUUUGAUGCGUUCCAAAUAAAACUCAUGCAUUUUGUUUUGUGACGCUGAAUACCUUAGACAUACUGCGCAUGACAACAUAUAUUAAAGUUUAUUCGCCAUGAUGACUAAUAUCACUAAAUCCUGAAUGUCAGAAAGUGAUUCGUCUUACUUCGUCUUCCACACGGUUAUAGAGCUUAUCUGUUUGACUGAAGCAAACACAAACUUAAUGUUCUGUCGGAUUGCUACGCGUUGGUUCUUCAAUUUGUGUGCAUAUUGCGCAGUAUUUGUUGACAAGUUGUUUACCUCAUCUUCGUUGCAAUUGC